rnacentral:rRNA from 1 species
CUGCAGCCCGAGUGGUGACCGAUAUUAUUGAGCCUAAAGCGUCCGUAGCCGGUCUGGUAAAUUCUUGGGUAAAUCGGGCAGCUUAACUGUCCGACUUCCGAGGAGACUGCCAGACUUGGGACCGGGAGAGGUCAGAGGUACUCCAGGGGUAGGGGCUAAAUCCUGUAAUCCUUGGGGGACCACCAGUGGCGAAGGCGUCUGACUAGAACGGAUCCGACGGUAAGGGACGAAACCCUGGGGCGCAAACCGGAUUAGAGACCCGUGUAGUCC